rnacentral:lncRNA from 1 species
UCGCCAGGCCCUCUCCCUGCCCGCGGGAGCUUCUCGGCUGCGAGGCGGCGGCCAGCUCGCUAGGCAGCUGCAAGCGACCUCAGAGGCGGCAGCGGCGGCGGCGCUGAGGAUGAAGUGCAAGCCGAACCAGACGCGGACCUACGACCCCGAGGGCUUCAAGAAGCGCGCCGCGUGCCUGUGCUUCCGCAGCGAGCGCGAGGACGAGGUGCUGCUGGUCAGCAGCAGCCGCUACCCGGACCGCUGGAUCGUGCCGGGCGGAGGCAUGGAGCCCGAGGAGGAGCCGGACGGCGCGGCGGUGCGCGAGGUGUACGAGGAGGCGGGAGUCAAGGGGAAGUUGGGCCGCUUGCUGGGCGUCUUCGAGCAGAACCAGGACCGCAAGCACCGGACCUACGUGUUCGUGCUCACCGUCACCGAGCUGCUGGAGGAUUGGGAAGACUCGGUCAGCAUCGGCAGGAAGCGCGAGUGGUUCAAGAUCGAAGAUGCCAUCAAGGUCCUGCAGUGCCACAAGCCCGUGCAUGCCGAGUACCUGGAGAAACUGAAGCUGGGCGGCUCCCCUACUAAUGGGAACUCGGCCGCCCCGUCCCCGCCAGAGAGCGAGCCCUAGUGAAUGGAAUAAAUGUUGUUCAGAUUUACUUUGAAAGAAUCAAGUAUGUGACCCCAAUGAUGAAUGGAAUUGUGAAGCACAGGUGAGCUCUUUGACAUCCCCAAGGACACAGCUCAGCCUAUGCUUUUGGACACUUCUUUCCUGGUAUUAACAAUGGCUACUCUUCAGGUUGUUGCACUACCACUGUAUCUGUACAGAAUUCUAUUCGGCACCUGUGGCCUUUUUGUGCUUUCGUCUGUAUUUCCCAUCAGAUUUGACCGUGAAUGCAAAGAACUUGCUUUCUUAGUCUUUUUAUAUCUAGCAUACAUUAC